CAUGUGGCUAACCUACCCUUAGGACGGAGACACCCCGGGAAACUGGGGCUAAUACCCGGUAUAUUAGGAGGCCUGGAAUGGUUUCUAGUCGAAAAGGCGUUGAAACCAUGCUUUUCGACGUCGCCUUAGGAUGGGGCCGCACCUGAUCAGGUUGUUGGUGGGGUAACGGCUCACCAAGCCUAUAACCGGUACGGGCCGUGAGAGCGGGAGCCCGGAGAUGGGCACUGAGACAAGGGCCCAUGCCCUACGGGGCGCACCAGUCGCGAAAACUCCGCAAUGCGCGAAAGCGUGACGGGGCUACCCCGAGUGCCGUCCGCUGAGGAUGGCUUUUCCCCGGUGUAAUGAGCCGGGGGAAUAAGGAGAGGGCAAGACUGGUGUCAGCCGCCGAGGUAAUACCAGCUCUCCGAGUGGUAGGGAUGAUUAUUGGGCUUAAAGCGUCCGUAGCCGGCUUAGCAAGUCUCCUGUUAAAUUCAGCGACCUAAUCGUUGA
rnacentral:rRNA from 1 species